GACGAACGCUGGCGGCGUGCUUAACACAUGCAAGUCGAACGGAAAGGCCCUGCUUUUGUGGGGUGCUCGAGUGGCGAACGGAUGAGUAACACGUGAGUAACCUGCCCUUGACUUUGGGAUAACUUCAGGAAACUGGGGCUACUACCGGAUAGGAGCUCCUGCUGCAUGGUGGGGGUUGGAACGUUUCGGCGGUUGGGGAUGGACUCGCGGCUUAUCAGCUUGUUGGUGGGGUAGUGGCUUACCAAGGCUUUGACGGGUAGCCGGCCUGAGAGGGUGACCGGCCACAUUGGGACUGAGAUACGGCCCAGACUCCUACGGGAGGCAGCAGUGGGGAAUAUUGCACAAUGGGCGGAAGCCUGAUGCAGCAACGCCGCGUGCGGGAUGACGGCCUUCGGGGUGUAAACCGCUUUCGCCUGUGACGAAGCGUGAGUGACGGUAAUGGGUAAAGAAGCACCGGCUAACUACGUG
rnacentral:rRNA from 1 species